CUUACCUUGUGUGUGGUUACACGAGGUACGAAAUUAGGCACUGGGAUAAGUAAAGCGCACAUUAACAGGGGCCAUUGCCAUUAAGUGGGACGAAGAUUAUCAGGUGCUAUGAAAUAUCGUCCAAUAAUUGUGAAGUUUGUCUUAUACUUAAAAUGAGCGGAGAGCUUUAACCGCAAGAGAAAAUUAACGGGGACAGAGAUUACAAUAAGAAAAGUCUUACAUAAGAGCGUCUAAAGACCUUGAAUAUCCCAUUUUGGUUUCCAGAAUAUGUGAACUCAGGAUGGCAAAGUAAUUAUCAAGACCACAGCUGGAAAGAAGACAGUUACAAACCUGCAGGCAGCCUAUUCCAGGGAACACCAGUGUCUCUCAAGAUGAUAUAAAACAUGAAGGAAAUUCCUCCCAGCCGGCCGAAGUGGCCGAGCGGUUCUAGGCGCUACAGUCUGGAGCCGCGCGACCGCUACAGUCGCAGGUAGAGGAGAGAGAAAAACAUUCACAAUAGGACUAAAACGUUACACAUGGCUGGCCUAACUAUGCUUGGCGCCGCCCCCUUGCUUGGGAGGGAAGGAAGGAAAUACUCAUCUACUGGUUCAAGGAUUUAUGAGGAAAUGUUACUCGUACAAUCAUGUACUAGUUGCCAAGGAACUCUUAUUUCAAAGAAAGGAUGUGUACUGACUGAUCAUUCAUGUACUAUCAUGUUGUUUCUACAUGCACUAGUGCUGUUUACUUCAAUUCACAUGUAGCUUAGUGUUAAUUAUGAAGGCGU